GUAACAUUUCUAGCUUGCUAGAAGAUGACGAGUGGCGGACGGGUGAGUAAUGCUUGGGAACUUGCCUUUGCGAGGGGGAUAACAGUUGGAAACGACUGCUAAUACCGCAUAAUGUCUUCGGACCAAACGGGGCUUCGGCUCCGGCGCAAAGAGAGGCCCAAGUGAGAUUAGCUAGUUGGUAAGGUAACGGCUUACCAAGGCGACGAUCUCUAGCUGUUCUGAGAGGAAGAUCAGCCACACUGGGACUGAGACACGGCCCAGACUCCUACGGGAGGCAGCAGUGGGGAAUAUUGCACAAUGGGGGAAACCCUGAUGCAGCCAUGCCGCGUGUGUGAAGAAGGCCUUCGGGUUGUAAAGCACUUUCAGUUGUGAGGAAAAGUUAGUAGUUAAUACCUGCUAGCCGUGACGUUAACAACAGAAGAAGCACCGGCUAACUCCGUGCCAGCAGCCGCGGUAAUACGGAGGGUGCGAGCGUUAAUCGGAAUUACUGGGCGUAAAGCGCACGCAGGCGGUUUGUUAAGCUAGAUGUGAAAGCCCCGGGCUCAACCUGGGAUGGUCAUUUAGAACUGGCAGACUAGAGUCUUGGAGAGGGGAGUGGAAUUCCAGGUGUAGCGGUGAAAUGCGUAGAUAUCUGGAGGAACAUCAGUGGCGAAGGCGACUCCCUGGCCAAAGACUGACGCUCAUGUGCGAAAGUGUGGGUAGCGAACAGGAUUAGAUACCCUGGUAGUCCACACCGUAAACGCUGUCUACUAGCUGUGUGUGUCUUUAAGACGUGCGUAGCGAAGCUAACGCGCUAAGUAGACCGCCUGGGGAGUACGGCCGCAAGGUUAAAACUCAAAUGAAUUUGACGGGGCCCGCAC
rnacentral:rRNA from 1 species